UCUUUUCCUCAUUGUUGCAAUUGUCGCACCAUUAAAAGCGACGGCGAGGACGAUUUGGGCGGUGUGACCAAUGUUGGGAUGAUUUUUGCAAUUCUGGCCACUGUCCUUGUUUGCUGCUGCUGUUG
rnacentral:ribozyme from 1 species